rnacentral:rRNA from 1 species
UACGAAGGGUGCAAGCGUUAAUCGGAAUUACUGGGCGUAAAGGGUGCGUAGGCGGUUCGGUAAGUCUGUCGUGAAAUCCCCGGGCUCAACCUGGGAAUGGCGAUGGAUACUGGCGAGCUAGAGUGUGUCAGAGGAUGGCGGAAUUCCCGGUGUAGCGGUGAAAUGCGUAGAGAUCGGGAGGAACAUCAGUGGCGAAGGCGGCCAUCUGGGACAACACUGACGCUGAAGCACGAAAGCGUGGGGAGCAAACAGG